rnacentral:rRNA from 1 species
GACGAACGCUGGCGGCGUGCUUAACACAUGCAAGUCGAGCGGUAAGGCCCUUUCGGGGGUACACGAGCGGCGAACGGGUGAGUAACACGUGGGUGACCUGCCCUCAGCUCUGGGACAAGCCUGGGAAACCGGGUCUAAUACUGGAUAUGACUCCAUGACGCAUGUUGUGGGGUGGAAAGCCUUGUGCGGCUGAGGAUGGGCCCGCGGCCUAUCAGCUUGUUGGUGGGGUGANGGCCUACCAAGGCGACGACGGGUAGCCGGCCUGAGAGGGCGACCGGCCACACUGGGACUGAGACACGGCCCAGACCCCUACGGGAGGCAGCAGUGGGGAAUCUUGCGCAAUGGGGCGAAAGCCUGACGCAGCGACGCCGCGUGAGGGAUGACGGCU